UACGUAGGGUGCGAGCGUUGUCCGGAAUUAUUGGGCGUAAAGAGCUCGUAGGCGGUGUGUCGCGUCGGCCGUGAAAACCUGGGGCUCAACCCCGGGCCUGCAGCCGAUACGGGCAGACUAGAAUUCGGUAGGGGAGACUGGAAUUCCUGGUGUAGCGGUGAAAUGCGCAGAUAUCAGGAGGAACACCGGUGGCGAAGGCGGGUCUCUGGGCCGAUAUUGACGCUGAGGAGCGAAAGCAUGGGGAGCGAACAGG
rnacentral:rRNA from 1 species